UUUGAGAAUCAGAAUGUUCAGAUGCAAAGACUAAGAAAAAAAAAGUGUUUGAAUGUGUGAUUUUUGUAUUCUUGCUGAAUCUCCAGCUGUAUAACCCAGAAGACAAAGGCUGCGGCUAAUGAUGGCAUCAGUCACUGAAACGGAGAUAAAGAAGAGCUCCUGAAGUGAUUGACGGGAAGUGGUCAACCCUAGCAGACACUGAAUCGGCCGGUCACUC
rnacentral:lncRNA from 1 species